rnacentral:rRNA from 1 species
GUGAACGCUAGCGGUGCGCCUAACACAUGCAAGUCGAACGUCCCGCAAGGGACGUGGCGAACGGCUGAGUAACACGUUGGAACCUUCCCCGGACUCAGGGAUAACCCCGCGAAAGCGGGGCUAAUACCGGAUGCCCUCGCAAGAGGAAAGAUUUUUCGGUCCGGGAGGGGCCUGCGGCCUAUCAGGUUGUUGGUAGGGUAACGGCCUACCAAGCCAAUGACGGGUAGCUGGUCUGAGAGGACGACCAGCCAGAGGGGAACUGCGACACGGUCCCCACUCCUACGGGAGGCAGCAGUGAGGAAUCUUCCGCAAUGGGCGAAAGCCUGACGGAGCGACACCGCGUGGAGGAUGAAACCCCUUGUGGGCGUAAACUCCUGUUCUGAGGGACGAAAUUUUUGACGGUACCUCAGGAGAAAGCACCGGCUAAUUCUGU